rnacentral:rRNA from 1 species
GACGAACGCUGGCGGCACGCCUAACACAUGCAAGUCGAACGGAGCAAAUUAGUUUACUAAGGUGCUUAGUGGCGGACGGGUGAGUAACACGUGAGCAACCUGCCUUUCUGAGGGGGAUAACGUUUGGAAACGAACGCUAAUACCGCAUAACAUAUGACUGUCACAUGGCAGACAUAUCAAAGGAGUAAUCCGCAGAAAGAUGGGCUCGCGUCUGAUUAGCUAGUUGGUGAGGUAAUGGCUCACCAAGGCGACGAUCAGUAGCCGGACUGAGAGGUUGAACGGCCACAUUGGGACUGAGACACGGCCCAGACUCCUACGGGAGGCAGCAGUGGGGGAUAUUGCACAAUGGGGGAAACCCUGAUGCAGCGAUGCCGCGUGGAGGAAGAAGGUUUUCGGAUUGUAAACUCCUGUCUUCAGGGACGAUAAUGACGGUACCUGAGGAGGAAGCACCGGCUAACUACGUG